rnacentral:rRNA from 1 species
AGCGAACGCUGGCGGCAGGCCUAACACAUGCAAGUCGAACGAAGUCUUCGGACUUAGUGGCGGACGGGUGAGUAACACGUGGGAACGUGCCUUUAGGUUCGGAAUAACUCAGGGAAACUUGUGCUAAUACCGAAUGUGCCCCUCGGGGGAAAGAUUUAUCGCCUUUAGAGCGGCCCGCGUCUGAUUAGCUAGUUGGUGAGGUAAAGGCUCACCAAGGCGACGAUCAGUAGCUGGUCUGAGAGGAUGAUCAGCCACAUUGGGACUGAGACACGGCCCAAACUCCUACGGGAGGCAGUAGUGGGGAAUCUUGCGCAAUGGGCGAAAGCCUGACGCAGCCAUGCCGCGUGAAUGAUGAAGGUCUUAGGAUUGUAAAAUUCUUUCACCGGGGACGAUAAUGACGGUACCCGGAGAAGAAGCCCCGGCUAACUUCGUGUCAGCCGCCGCAGUAAUAC